CUGAUGUGAUAUCCAGUCUGAGGAGUUGGUCCAGUUGGUCUGAUGUGAUUAAUGAGGAGUUGGUCCAGUUGGUCUGAUGUGAUUAAUGAGGAGUUGAGUCCAGUUGGUCUUGAUGUGAUUAAUGAGGAGUUGGUCAGUUGGUCUGAUGUGAUAAUGAGGGAUAUCCAGUCUGAGGAGUUGGUCCAGUUGGUCUGAUGUGAUUAAUGAGGAGUUUGGUCCGGUUGGUCUGAUGUGAUUAUGAGGAGUUGGUCCAGUUGGUCUGAUGUGUUAAUGAGGAGUUGGUCCAGUGCGUUCUGGUGAUUAAUGAGGAGUUGGU
rnacentral:lncRNA from 1 species